AUUGAACGCUGGCGGCAGGCCUAACACAUGCAAGUCGAGCGGGGUUUUCGGACCUAGCGGCGGACGGGUGAGUAAUGCGUAGGAAGCUGCCCGAUAGAGGGGGAUACCAGUUGGAAACCGACUGUUAAUACCGCAUAAUGUCUACGGACCAAAGUGUGGGACCUUCGGGCCACAUGCUAUCGGAUGCGCCUACGUGGGAU
rnacentral:rRNA from 1 species